rnacentral:rRNA from 1 species
CAGUCGCGUUGGCUUGGAAUCAGCCUUGCUUUUGCUUGGUGUACUUCCUUGUUAACGGGUCAGCAUCAAUUUUGACCGUUGGAGAAAGGCUUUGGGAAUGUGGCACCUUAGGGUGUGUUAUAGCCCUUUGUUGUAUACAACGGUUGGGAUUGAGGACUGCAGCAUGCCUUCAUGGCCGGGGUUACCCCACGUACAUGCUUAGGAUGCUGGCAUAAUGGCUUUAAGCGACCCGUUUGAAACACGGACCAAGGAGUCUAACAUAUGUGCGAGUGUU